rnacentral:misc_RNA from 1 species
GUUCAUCUUGUUGCAGGAUUGGUGGUAAAAGCAUAAAGCUCUUUUCUUCUUCUUUACAUAUUCAUUCCAUUUAUUAUGUAUAAAUUUAUCCUGAUUUAUAGUUGCUACAAUCUUGGCAAGUUGAAAUUAGAAAACAAAUAAUUUCUAAACAGCAAUACAGUAGCACCAGUUGUGUUAUAUAUUGCAUAGGCUUGGCAAUCCAACCAUUGGACCUUAACAUUGGAAAGUUUUGAACUUUGGAUCAUUGGAGUUGAUUUUGGAAUGUGAUUUUUGUGGGCUACAAUUUUGUCCAGAGUGUGGAAUGUGAUUGGUAGGGAUUUAUGUAAUUCAAAAAUCUAAAACUCUUAAAUGAAUCGUUACCAGUUUAUUUUUAUUUUUAUUUUUA